UAAGAAUCUUCCGCAAUGGGCGAAAGCCUGACGGAGCGACGCCGCGUGAACGAUGAAGGCCGUGAGGUUGUAAAGUUCUUUUCGGGAGGGGGAAUAAGCGGGGCAGGAAAUGGCCCUGCGAUGACGUGAAUCCCGGAAUAAGCCCCGGCUAACUACGUGCCAGCAGCCGCGGUAACACGUAGGGGGCGAGCGUUGUUCGGAAUCAUUGGGCGUAAAGGGCGUGCAGGCGGCCCUGCAAGUCCGGCGUGAAAUGCCCCGGCUCAACCGGGGAGACGCGCUGGAAACUGCGGGGCUGGAGUACAGGAGGGGAUGCCGGAAUUCCAGGUGUAGGGGUGAAAUCUGUAGAUAUCUGGAGGAACACCAAUGGCGAAGGCAGGCAUCUGGCCAUGUACUGACGCUGAGACGCGAAGGUGCGGGGAGCAAACA
rnacentral:rRNA from 1 species